rnacentral:lncRNA from 1 species
GGCACAUAGCAAAUGACAUUUAAUUUUUGCAUUGGGAACAAAAUGUUGACAAACUGAACAAAUCGCAACUUAUUGAUAAUUUGGUUCUACUUAAAAUAUAAACCUUCAGCUUAAAAACAACAACAAAAACAAUAACAAAAAACUUAUCCAUAGUGAAACUGUGGCUUACAUUUAUGUUACUAUUUCCAAAGCUUUAAUAUUUCUAACACCUCCUUCUGCUGUAGGCAGACUGCUUUCCUAAGCCAGGCAUCAGGCAGUCAACCCAACAGAAGAGUGUGUGGUGUGAGGACAGCAGGAUAUUAUUCUUGUCAUCCAUGACAGAGUUGCUUUUAUGUAUUUACUGAGUCCCAACACAUGUCAAUAUAUCUGACCAGUUCCUUGGGUUUAUUGAUUAACGUUUUUGAAAAGCUCUCUUCUCUCCACAGAAAAUUCUGGUAUGCCUCCUCCUUGCUGGCCCCAAACUCAACUACUUCAGUGUGACACCAGGAGAACUAACAGGCAGCCAGCAUUACACUGUUCACCAUUGCAACCACUGACUUGUUGGGAAGAACCAGAAGCAUGAAUCCCUUGAAAUAGAUGGUCAUGUUGCUUUGAUCCAGCAAGUCUUCAGGACAGACCUACUCCUGUCUUCAGACACUUGAGUAAUCUCACUGAAUGUCAUCCAGCAAAGACCACUGAGCUACUAGUCAGGGAAGUAACAAGUUUUGGCCAUCAGGUACUAGCUACUGCAGUUUCAAGUACUGGCAGCUACCCAGAGAGGCAUUUCUUUUUUUCAGCAUCUUUGCUCUGAUCUUCAGUUAUCAAGCAAUCUAAUAUUCAUAAGACAGAAAAUGCUAUUUUCUGUUAUUAUUAUACUUGCAGGUAUUGUACUCCAGGUGAAGGGAUGCCAUUUCGGUGUAAAACCCCUUGACUUUUAUCACUGCUUCAGGGAGCUUGAAAGCCAGAUUUAAAAAAAAAAAAAAAAAAGUCAAUAAAAUAGGCUAGUACAUAUUUUUGUGACUUUCU